GACGAACGCUGGCGGCGUGCCUAAUACAUGCAAGUAGAACGCUGAAGGAGGAGCUUGCUCUUCUGGAUGAGUUGCGAACGGGUGAGUAACGCGUAGGUAACCUGCCUGGUAGCGGGGGAUAACUAUUGGAAACGAUAGCUAAUACCGCAUAAGAGUAGAUGUUGCAUGACAUUUACUUAAAAGGUGCAAUUGCAUCACUACCAGAUGGACCUGCGUUGUAUUAGCUAGUUGGUGGGGUAACGGCUUACCAAGGCGACGAUACAUAGCCGACCUGAGAGGGUGAUCGGCCACACUGGGACUGAGACACGGCCCAGACUCCUACGGGAGGCAGCAGUAGGGAAUCUUCGGCAAUGGACGGAAGUCUGACCGAGCAACGCCGCGUGAGUGAAGAAGGUUUUCGGAUCGUAAAGCUCGGUUGUAAGAGAAGAACGAGUGUGAGAGUGGAAAGUUCACACUGUGACGGUAUCUUAACAGAAAGGGACGGCUAACUACGUG
rnacentral:rRNA from 1 species